rnacentral:tRNA from 1 species
GGAGAGGUGUCUGAGCGGUUGAAAGAGCUGGUCUUGAAAACCAGAGUACCUUUACGGGUACCGUGGGUUCGAAUCCCACCCUCUCCG